UAAUACCAGCACCCCGAGUGGUCGGGACGAUUAUUGGGCCUAAAGCAUCCGUAGCCGGUCCCACAAGUCCUCCGUUAAAUCCAACUGCUUAACAGAUGGGCCGCGGAGGAUACUAUGGGGCUAGGAGGCAGGAGAGGCAAGCGGUACUCAGUGGGUAGGGGUAAAAUCCGUUGAUCCACUGAAGACCACCAGUGGCGAAGGCGG
rnacentral:rRNA from 1 species